rnacentral:rRNA from 1 species
UACGUAGGGGGCGAGCGUUGUCCGGAAUUAUUGGGCGUAAAGAGCUCGUAGGCGGUUCGGUAAGUCGGGUGUGAAAACUUUGGGCUCAACCCAAAGCCUGCACCCGAUACUGCUGUGACUUGAGCCCGGUAGGGGAGUGGGGAAUUCCUGGUGUAGCGGUGGAAUGCGCAGAUAUCAGGAGGAACACCGGUGGCGAAGGCGGGUCUCUGGGCCGAUACUGACGCUGAGGAGCGAAAGCAUGGGUAGCGAACAGG